AACGAACGCUGGCGGCAGGCCUAACACAUGCAAGUCGAGCGCCCUUUCGGGGGAGCGGCGGACGGGUGAGUAGCGCGUGGGAAUAUGCCCUUCUCUACGGAAUAGCCUCGGGAAACUGAGAGUAAUACCGUAUACGCCCUUUGGGGGAAAGAUUUAUCGGGGAAGGAUUAGCCCGCGUUGGAUUAGGUAGUUGGUGGGGUAAUGGCCUACCAAGCCGACGAUCCAUAGCUGGUUUGAGAGGAUGAUCAGCCACACUGGGACUGAGACACGGCCCAGACUCCUACGGGAGGCAGCAGUGGGGAAUCUUAGACAAUGGGGGCAACCCUGAUCUAGCCAUGCCGCGUGAGUGAUGAAGGCCUUAGGGUUGUAAAGCUCUUUCAGCUGGGAAGAUAAUGACGGUACCAGCAGAAGAAGCCCCGGCUAACUCCGUG
rnacentral:rRNA from 1 species